AUACGGAGGUUGCAAGCGUUGUUCGGAAUUAUUGGGCGUAAAGCGCGUGUAGGUGGUCUGUUAAGUCUGGUGUGAAAGCCCUGGGCUCAACCCAGGAAGUGCAUUGGAUACUGGCAGACUUGAGUAUGGGAGAGGAAAGCGGAAUUCCGAGUGUAGGAGUGAAAUCCGUAGAUAUUCGGAGGAACACCAGUGGCGAAGGCGGCUUUCUGGACCAAUACUGACGCUGAGACGCGAAAGCGUGGGGAGCAAACAGGAUUAGAAACCCUAGUAGUCC
rnacentral:rRNA from 1 species